UGCGCUGCAGUGGACCAUGCUUUGUCCUGCGUGUGGUCUCCUCCCCUGAUCCUGUCAGUCUGGAACAGCUCUCUCGCUCUGUCCAUGUCACUGAUGCUGGAUGCUGCUGGAUGUAAUCACUUCUCACUGUCCGUUUGGAUGUAAUAUGGUGGUCUGGAGACUGACGGCUAUAGCUCUGGCGUGUUCCCUGCUGCUUGUGGACGCGCUGGUACUGUAUGGAAAGCGGGAUCCGAGAACACUGACUUUCUCCAGGUCACUUUCAGAUGAACAGGACGGACAAUUUCGUCCAAAACGGGCGACACGGUCACUCAAGUCCAACUUCGUAGAAUGUAGAAUUCCUCUGACUCCCAAAGAGCACUCAGUCCUGGAGAGCAACACGUACGAGACAAUUUUUCAUGGAGAUGAUGGCUCUAGUUUUAUUUUAACAUGGGUAGGCGAUGGAUCUGGGGUUAUUCUGGUUUUGUCCACAGUUACGUCUCCACUGGAAUCCUUUUAUGAACGUGGCUCCAUGCGACUUUACAGGAGUGAAGAUUACGGAAAAUCCUUUCAUGACAUCUCAUAUACCAUCGACAAUUUGUUCGUAAGAAAGGACUUUGGGAUAUCUGUAGGCCCGGUGAACUCACAGAAGCUGAUUCUGACCGCUGAGCUGCCCGUUACCAACAUCCCAGGAGGAGUUAUAUUCACUUCCACAGACUCAGGAAAGACAUUUAAAUCCAUACAGUUGCCAUUCCACCCUGCUCAGCCUAUUUCCUUCCAUCACCAAAACUCAGACUACCUGCUGGUCAUCUGCACACGGGGCUCUUUAUGGCGCUCACAGAACUUUGGGAGGAGCUGGUCUAAAAUCCAUGAUGGAGUUUACUCUUUUACAUGGGGAUCUGGCUACACUCUUUUUUUCAGCUACAGCCCUAAAGGCACAGUGGAGGCAGACAGACGAGGAGACCUUUUUCUGAGACGCACACAAGACCUUGGCCGAACCUUCAUGACCAUCGCUCAGAAUAUCUUCUCCUUUGGCUACAUCGGAGGAUUCCUGUUCACCUCUGUCAUGGAGAAUCCGGGUUCUCCUCGGGCUAUUUAUGUUUCAGUGGACCACGGUGAUCAAUUCACCAAAGCCUUGCUGCCAUCAGCCACUUCAGAGCAGUUCUACUCAGUUUUGGAUGGUGAUGAAGAUAUGAUCUUUAUGCAUGUGGAUAGUCCUGGAGAUGAGACGUACUUUGGGACAGUGUAUACAUCUGAUGACCGGGGCAUCCUGUACUCCAAGUCUCUUGACCGGCAUCUAUUUGGUGGAGAAAGGAAGAGUGACUUUACAAAUGUGACAUCACUGAGAGGAGUGUAUCUCACCAAUGUCUUUGAGGAGGAUGGACGAAUUUGCACAGUCAUCACAUUCAAUAAUGGUGGACAAUGGUGGCCACUAAAAAAGCCAAAAAACAUGGAAUGUGAAGAAAGCAUUAAAAAGUGUAAUUUACACAUUCAUGGGGAGCACAGCCACUACAGCGGCAUUUCCCCCAUGCUGCCUCUGUCUCAUCCUUCUGCUGUUGGCUUGAUCAUUGCUCAUGGCAGUGUCGGGGAGUCCAUCUCAGCGUCUAAGCCAGAUGUGUACGUUUCCUCAGAUGGAGGGUAUAACUGGAUAUGUGCACUGAGGGGACCUCAUCAUUACAGUAUACUGGAUUCAGGAGGCCUGAUUGUGGCUGUGGAGGUUCGCAGAGAUCGGCAGACUAAUGCAAUAAAAUUCUCCACAGAUGAAGGUCAGUGUUGGAAAACUUAUAAUUUCACAGAGCAUCCCAUCUACUUUGCUGGCCUUACAUCUGAGCCUGGUACUAAGACUCUGAAGAUCAGUGUGUUUGGUUUUCGGCCUGAUGAUGAUGAUCAGCCUCUGUGGGUUGCAGUGACUAUAGACUUUGAGCAGCUUCUACCCAGAGAAUGUAAUGAACAGGACUACAUAAAGUGGUUGGCCCAUUCUGAUGAUGAACAAGAAGAUUCAGAGACAGAUGGAUGUGUCUUAGGCUAUAAGGAAACUUUUCAAAGACUGAAAAAGAUGUCGGUCUGCAGAAAGGGGCAUAACUAUGUGGUCAGUAAGCAACAGAAACCAUGUCCCUGCUCCAGAGAAGAUUACAUGUGCGAUUAUGGUUAUUACCUCCAUGAAAACAGCUCUGAAUGUGUGAAACAGCCUGAGUUCAGAAACAAAACCCUGGAGCUCUGUUUGAAUGGAGAGUUAGAGGAGCUCCAGACCACAGGGUAUCGAAAGAUCCCUGGUGAUAAAUGUGAGGGUGGCUUUACCCCCCCGCGUCAAAUAGAUGCUGCCAAAAUGCAUUGUGGGAAUAACAGCCAGCCUUCCGUUAUAAGCCAUCAGCCUAAUAGAGUAAAGGAGGUGUGGUUGCUGAUUGUGAUAAGUGUCAGUGUGGGGACUGUUUCUCUGGCUAUCAUUACUGCAGUGACCAUAACUGUCCUGAGAAUGAACUACAGGCAAAGGUCAGCAUCAUACCAAUUCUCAGCUCUUCAGCUGCAUGAGGAUGAAAUAUGUGUUGCCUCUGAGAGAUCUCCAAACAGUAGCCAAGCCAUCUACCAAGAUUCAGAUGAUAUUCUUAGAGAACAUACCUAAACAAACAUGAAGACCAUGGAGCAUUAAAAACAAGUCGAGGACAAAAUCUGUCAUUCAGGAUCUUGUUGAAUGAGCAGCAUCCUCUGAACCCUCCAGGUAUCCUGUGAUUAUGAGAUUUUGCAAUGGUCAAUGGUUUCACACAUCUUGUUUAUAAUUUUAAUGCAUUUGGAUUGAAACACUAAACUGAUCUUUGAUUAAAAAGAACAAUGAGUCUAUUUUAUAUAACUUAAUCUUUAAACUUAAAAGAUGAACAGUUAUCCUUUAAUACUUGAUCCUUUUAUACUUUAUUUUUAAGAGUGCUAAAUGCAUAUGCAUCCCUUGUUUUAACUAAUUUCAUAUUGGCAAUUAUGAUCAGAAUGAAACUUUGAGGGAUUUAAGCAAUUAAUAUGCAGAGUAAUGCUAAAGGGCCUAAAAGUUUUUUGUUUUUAAAAAGGAAAGUUAUGUAUUAUGAUGCUGCACAAAGUUAUGCCUUAGGUCUAACUGUAAUCAGUUUGGAUUUCUGGAAACAAAAUGUUU